rnacentral:rRNA from 1 species
CCUACGGGAGGCAGCAGUGGGGAAUAUUGCACGAUGGACGAAAGUCUGAUGCAGCAACGCCGCGUGGAGGAUGACACAUUUCGGUGCGUAAACUCCUUUUAUAUGAGAAGAUAAUGACGGUAUUAUAUGAAUAAGCACCGGCUAACUCCGUGCCAGCAGCCGCGGUA